CUUAUACUCCCUCCAUCCCAAAAUUCUUAUCUUAGAUUAGUCUAGAUACGGAUGUAUCUAAUACCAAAAGGUGACUUGAUACAUCCGUAUUUAGACAAAUCUAAGACAAGAAUUUUGGGACGGAGGGAGUAUU
rnacentral:pre_miRNA from 1 species